rnacentral:rRNA from 1 species
CCUACGGGAGGCAGCAGUAGGGAAUCUUCCGCAAUGGACGAAAGUCUGACGGAGCAACGCCGCGUGAACGAUGAAGGCCUUCGGGUCGUAAAGUUCUGUUGUUAGGGAAGAACAAGUGCUAGUUAAAUAAGCUGGCACCUUGACGGUACCUAACCAGAAAGCCACGGCUAACUACGUGCCAGCAGCCGCGGUAAUACGUAGGUGGCAAGCGUUGUCCGGAAUUAUUGGGCGUAAAGCGCGCGCAGGCGGUUUCUUAAGUCUGAUGUGAAAGCCCCCGGCUCAACCGGGGAGGGUCAUUGGAAACUGGGAAACUUGAGUGCAGAAGAGGAAAGUGGAAUUCCAAGUGUAGCGGUGAAAUGCGUAGAGAUUUGGAGGAACACCAGUGGCGAAGGCGACUUUCUGGUCUGUAACUGACGCUGAGGCGCGAAAGCGUGGGGAGCAAACAGGAUUAGAUACCCUGGUAGUCCACGCUGUAAACGAUGAGUGCUAAGUGUUAGAGGGUUUCCGCCUUUAGUGCUGAAGUUAACGCAUUAAGCACUCCGCCUGGGGAGUCGGUCGCAAGCUGAAACUUAAUGAAUUGNGNGUUGAGAGNGCGAGCGACGACGAGGAGAGG